ensembl:lncRNA
ACUCUCCCGGACCAGAUUACCUGUUUGUUGACAAUGGGAACGGUGAUUAUACCCAUUCAAUCAGUAUGUCUGAUAAUGGAGCCCAAUCAAAACCACCAGCUGAUACAACAGAUUCAUCUGUAGUCUUUGACACAAUGUCACAUCUGGGUCAUUCCUUUAUAGACUAUUCAGAUGGUGGGGUGGAUAAUAAUGGCGCAGAUUUACCCAAUACAAAUGGAAAUGGAAACGGUCGGCACAAACCUGUGGUAGACAAACAGAAAGGUGACCCUCCAAGCGUUCAUCUGGACAUCAGCGGAACAGGCCAUCAAGACGCUGCAACGGAGAUGCAUCACACAGCUGUUGGUGCGCUUGAUCUAAACGACCACACUCUCAGUCCCUACUCCGACACGACUGGAUUUGACAGUGUCAAUGGUGCAAGGGCGCAGACAGAUAUGGCAGGUGCAGCGGGUGAUCCAGUGACUGACGGACAGACUCUUACAGACGUGACAGGGCUGGAACACUUAGCUGUGACAGACGGCAUGCUAAAUUACACAGCAGAUUCUGUGCUUGCGACUGGGACUGGAUUUACAGAUGCCUCAGACACACAUAGUAACAUGGUUCAGACAGACCUACCAGCUACAGUCACAGGGGAUCCAUUCACAGGAGUUUCCUCACAAACAGAUGCCAUGGGCACAGGACAACCUGGUGCUACGGAACAAACACAGACAGCUGUAUCAGCAGGUGAACAGUACCACACAUCUGGUCAGGGUACUGAAGGUGGGUCUGAAAUUCUUCAUGCGGACUGUUCAUGUUGA